rnacentral:rRNA from 1 species
AUGAACGCUGGCGGCGUGCUUAACACAUGCAAGUCGAACGAACCCUUGGGUUAGUGGCGGACGGGUGAGUAACGCGUGGGAAUCUGCCAUCUGGAGGGGGAUAACGGCUGGAAACGGCCGCUAAUACCCCAUAUGCCGAGAGGUGAAAUGAAUUUCGCCUGAGGAUGAGCUCGCGUCUGAUUAGCUAGUUGGUGUGGUAAUGGCUCACCAAGGCUUCGAUCAGUAGCUGGUCUGAGAGGACGAUCAGCCACACUGGGACUGAGACACGGCCCAGACUCCUACGGGAGGCAGCAGUGGGGAAUUUUCCGCAAUGGGCGAAAGCCUGACGGAGCAACGCCGCGUGAGGGAUGAAGGCCUCUGGGCUGUAAACCUCUUUUCUCAAGGAAGAAGAACUGACGGUACUUGAGGAAUAAGCCACGGCUAAUUCCGUGCCAGCAGCCGCGGUAAUACGGGAGUGGCAAGCGUUAUCCGGAAUUAUUGGGCGUAAAGCGUCCGCAGGCGGCCUUGUAAGUCUGUCGUUAAAGCGUGGGGCUCAACUCCAUUUCAGCGAUGGAAACUACAAGGCUCGAGUCUGGUAGGGGCAGAGGGUAUUCCCGGUGUAGCGGUGAUAUGCGUAGAUAUCGGGAGGCACUCUAGUGGCGAAGGCGCUCUGCUGGGCCAAGACUGACGCUCAUGGACGAAAGCCAGGGGAGCGAAAGGGAUUAGAUACCCUGGUAGUCCUGGCCGUAAACGAUGUCCACUUGGUGUCGUGGGAAUCGACC